rnacentral:rRNA from 1 species
CUGCGGGGAAUGCGUUCCCGGGUCUUGUACACACCGCCCGUCACACCACGGGAGUUGGAGACGCCCGAAGCCGAUUAGCUAACCUGUUGGAAGAAGUCGUCGAAGGGGGAAGCAAGAACUGGGGGGAAGUCGUAACAAGGUAGCCGUAUCGGAAGGUGCGGCUGGAUCACCUCCUUUCGAAGGAGA